CCUACGUGUGGCAGCAGUGAGGAAUAUUGGUCAAUGGACGAGAGUCUGAACCAGCCAAGUAGCGUGAAGGAUGACUGCCCUAUGGGUUGUAAACUUCUUUUAUAUGGGAAUAAAAUGUUCCACGUGUGGGAUUUUGUAUGUACCAUAUGAAUAAGGAUCGGCUAACUCCGUGCCAGCAGCCGCGGUAAUACGGAGGAUCCGAGCGUUAUCCGGAUUUAUUGGGUUUAAAGGGUGCGUAGGUGGAUUGUUAAGUCAGUUGUGAAAGUUCGCGGCUCAACCGUAAAAUUGCAGUUGAAACUGGCAGUCUUGAGUACAGGAGAGGUGGGCGGAAUGCGUGGUGUAGCGGUGAAAUGCUGAGAUAUCACGAAGAAAUCCGAUUGCGAAGGCAGUUCACUGGACUGCAACUGACACUGAGGCUCGAAAGUGUGGGUAUCAAACAGGAUUAGAUACCCGAGUAGUC
rnacentral:rRNA from 1 species